UCGGGAAUCUUGCACAAUGGGCGAAAGCCUGAUGCAGCAACGCCGUGUGGGCGAGGAAGGUCUUCGGAUCGUAAAGCCCUGUUGUUGGGGACGAAGGGCGAAGGGUUAAUAGCCCCCAGCCUGACGGUACCCUUCGAGGAAGCCCCGGCUAACUACGUGCCAGCAGCCGUGGUAAUACGGAGGGUCCAAGCGUUGUCCGAAAUUACUGGGUGUAAAGGGUGUGCAGGCGGAGCGGAAAGUCAGAGGUGAAAGCCCGCAGCUUAACUGUGGAAUUGCCUUUGAUACUACCGCUCUUGAGUCCCGGAGAAGCUGUCGGAAUUCGUGGUGUAGCGGUGAAAUGCGUAGAUAUCACGAGGAACACCAGAAGCGUAAGCGGACAGCUGGACGGUGACUGACGCUCAGGCACGAAAGCGUGGGGAGCAAACAGGAUUAGAUACCCCGGUAGUCC
rnacentral:rRNA from 1 species